rnacentral:rRNA from 1 species
GACGAACGCUGGCGGCGUGCUUAACACAUGCAAGUCGAACGGAAAGGCCCUGCUUGUGUGGGGUGCUCGAGUGGCGAACGGGUGAGUAACACGUGAGUAACCUGCCCUUGACUUUGGGAUAACUUCAGGAAACUGGGGCUAAUACCGGAUAGGAGCUCCUGCUGCAUGGUGGGGGUUGGAAAGUUUCGGCGGUUGGGGAUGGACUCGCGGCUUAUCAGCUGGUUGGUGGGGUAGUGGCUUACCAAGGCUUUGACGGGUAGCCGGCCUGAGAGGGUGACCGGCCACAUUGGGACUGCGAUACGGCCCAGACUCCUACGGGAGGCAGCAGUGGGGAAUAUUGCCCAAUGGGCGGAAGCCUGAUGCAGCAACGCCGCGUGCGGGAUGACGGCCUUCGGGUUGUAAACCGCUUUCGCCUGUGACGAAGCGUGAGUGACGGUAAUGGGUAAAGAAGCACCGGCUAACUACGUG